UUACAGACAACUCUUCUUCAUCAAGACCACACCGAUGGUCUUAAUUUUAAUUCUGUAGAAGCAGGACCUCCUUUGUCUAAACCGUAGUGGCACAGUUAAGUAGACAAGAGAUUUCAAUAGGUGCUUACUCUGGGAAAGGCGACCACACACGUUUCAAUAAGCGUGAAGCUGGUCGUCCCUCCUUUCAGACGGCACACUUUAAAUGAAAACUUAUCCAGAGGAAACUCAAGCAGAAAGAGAGGCUGCAAAGGCCAGGUGGUGAGAAGCGGCUGGUACUCAAAGGUCAGGCAUGGGAGCAUGUGACCCACCCUGGGGCAGCAGCAACAGAGGGGAAAUGCACUAGGAAAGAGAUGGGCUUUGCCUUGUUGACCCUGGCAGUCACUCUUCCACUAGAAUGUUCCACAUGGAAAGAAUCCACGAUGCCAUGGCCGAGUCGCCACAGUGGCAAUAGGAUGAGCAGACUGAGAUUAAACUCUAUGGCUUCCAGGUCCCUUAAGUGAUUCUUGGACAUUUUUCACUAGUGGUGUAACAUUUAGAAUCAGUCGAUUCAAUUCAAUCACCUGAAAGGUCUCCACAAUACAAAGGUCAUUUUGUAGACUGCCAAAGCUACCUGGGGACAGUGUCUCAUUUCUGUAAUAAAGAAAAAAAACAAAACAACAAAUGCGUCUUUGGGGACUCAAUUAAAAUUCAAGCUCUCAAGGCAUUAUAAAAGAAAAAUGACUUUCAUUGUCUGGGUGGGCACAUCAUUUGUGCUGGUCAGGAGAACUUGGGCUCAUCAUAAGACACAAAGCAAAGCAACGAGGUACCAAAUUCUACUCUCUGCUUGCUCAUAUUAGUGCAGCCAGAGAGCUGAAGAAACCACAUUAAGAGUUCUGUUUGUUGGGUUGGUUGGUUGGUUUGGUUUUUUGUUUUUUGAGACAGGGUUUUUCUAUGUGUAGCCCUGGUUACCCUGGAACUCACUUUGUAGACCAGGCUGGCCUUGAACUCAAAAAUCUGCCUGCCUCUGCCUCCCAAGUGCUGGUAUUAAAGGCAUGCACCAUCACCGCCCGGCACACAUUUAGAGUUCUAAGGCACACUACAGAUCCUGUCAAAGAGCCAGAGGAUGCUCUGAAACACAAGGACUUCACAAUGUUCUUUUCUGUGAGGGGCACAGAACCUUUGCAAAUGUUCUGCAAACCUCACAAAAGUAGAGCUGAAAAAUCCUUCAAUAAACUUCUAGAGUCUCUCAAUUCCAUCUUGGAUGGUCACCCUUUGAGUACUGAGUGGCCAACUACUUGAAAUCAAGCUUUGACUGAGGUUCCAAGGGCUUAGAAACAGCCCAAGGCAUAGGGACUCAGGGAUUGUAUUUCAGAACUGGUCAGCCAGCAGCUAGCUUAAUGAGCACAAAGGAAGAGAGGGCCACAUGAAAGAAUUGCCAUGUUUGCUGGGUUUUGUGUAUUUUUUCUUUUAACUGUAGCUGCUUGGCAACUCUCCUAGAUCACAGCUUUGGAAACGAAAUUCAUCUCCCUAAUGGAAAAGAGCUAACAGAGAUCCCACUGAUGGCUACUAACCAACUCUGCAAGAGGCUGUGGGUUUCACCCUACACAAGAAACUACCAAAUUGACUUCCGGCGUGGGGCUUAAGCCAGGUAUGUUUGCUCAGAUGGAAAAGAUACUACAAUACAAGAGGAAUCAUAUUUCUUCCUGGCCAUAUGGAAGCACUGAGUGGAAAAUGCAUAAUUAAGCUUUCUUCUUCACUGCCUGCUCUUCACAGGAGGUUAUAAAUAAGCCCUAGAAAGCCGAGUGCUGCUGUUCUAGAGGAAGCAAGUGAUUGUCUCAUCAGUUAGCUUGAAGAGAAGGUCAUACCAGAAAUAAUCGUUUUGAGAAAUAACUUGGCUUUCUGGCUAUGAUCUCACCCUGCCUUGGAUUAUUUUUGCUUAUUUCCCCUUUCAUUACAAAUUGUACUGUUUAUUUUAUUCUGUGCAUAUGUACUCGGAGUAAAAUUAGGUCAAUUUAAUUUUCUCCUCCAGUUUGUUUCCAAAAUGAUGAGUUUUUCUUUUCUUCUUUUGUUUGUUGAGACCGGGUCUUUCAAUGUAGUCCUGCUGUCUUAGAACAAGCUAUGUUAAGUAGGCUGGCCUCGAACUCACAGAGAUCCACCUGCCAAGUACUGGGUCUAAAGGCAUGACCCACCAUGGCCAGCAAUGGUAGUUUUCUUAAAUCAAACACAUGCCAAAAUGUUUUUGUUUGUAUUAUAUUGGUCCAUUUUAAAUUUAAGCGAUCCACAUGGGGGUUCUUAACCAAGGGCACCCUACCUUGUAGGGACUCUUGCUUUAGCCACUGAGAACCCAUCAGAAACCAGGUUCUAUUGCGAGUGCUUGGGAUAGAAAGAUGACCACAUGAUGGUAUAAAAGUCCUUAUAGCUUACAGCAACAACAUCAGUGUUUAAUAUCUGAUACCAUAGAGAAGUGAUGUACUAAAUAGACCUAAGACCUUAUCGUUACAGGUGGCCGUCAAAGUCACAUUCCACCUCGUGCCCUCUUUUCUCAUGGACCAGGAAAAUGUCAGAGGAAGCACCUCAGACUACAGAGGGGACACAAGCUGCUGGGGUCAAUCCAAUUAGGUUGCUGCUGUUCAAGGACAUUUACUCUCCAGAGCAGCAUGCACACUCUCAGGCUCUCUGGCUGUGCAUGCUGGCUCCCAGAUCACUUGGUUUUGUUUGCUUUUAAUUACUCACCUGCUAAGAUCGCCAGUUUGCUUGUUUUUUGUUUCUCUUUAUGGGGAUUAAAAAUGGAUUUUCCUGGUUUUGUAUGUGUUUUAAAAUAAUAACAAGAAGAAUUAUUUCAAGUAGUUAUGAGAAUAGAAUUACAUAAAUGCAAUUAAAAGGAGCUAAAAAAUUUUUAAUAUCUUCUUAUCUUCCCAAUGUCAGGUUAAUUUCUUUAGAACUUAAAAGGUACAAAGCAUGCAUAAUGUUGAAGAAAGGGCAUCAAAAUAGGCAGAUGAUACUACCUCUCUCCAGCUGGGUGGCACGUAUAGGAUAGCUCCAUGUAAGUUCGCUCCUUCCUUUUAAAAUCUUUUUAUAAAAUCUUGUGCUAAAAAAAAUGUGUUUUUAGGUCAAGUCCAAAAUUGUCUAAAGAAGUUGCUUGACUGACUCCUUAGUCUCCACUUCCUUACAUUGAGAUAACACGAUCAAGUUAUUUUUCAAGAUUCACUUCUUUUUAUUUUUAUGUGUCUGUGCGUUUUACCUACAUAAGUGUUUGUGUACCAGGUGCAUACAGUGCUCAGACAAGAAAGGGGCAUUGGAUCCCCUAGAACUUGAGUUACAGACGGUUGUGAGCUCCUGUACUGGGAAUCUAAUGCAGCUACUCUAGAAGAGCAGCCAGUGCUCAUAACCUCUGAGCUAUAACCCCAGUCCUUACAAUCACUGCUAAAGAGUACACCACUCACUGAGAAAGAAUAAGAAGACAAAGGAGACUCUUGGUCUCUGAGUUUCCAUGAAACACCCCGGAAGACACCAAGCCUGGAGUGGGCAGGGCCAUUGGGAACAGGAAGGCCAUGCCUUGUGUUAGCUGUGCAUGUAUCCAUGCAAUCUCCUAGACUUAUGAAACAAAAUAAGCAUAAAUUACAAGUAGCUGUGAAGAAAGAAAAUCACAGUGAAUAAUAUCAACUCCCCAAAUUUUAUAGAACAUAAAACUUUUUUGACACCACAAAAUAAUCUGAAGAACUGUCAGCAUUUCUAAAGCAAAGCAUUUGAUGAAGUUGGGCAAGAACGGUCUCAAAAUAACACAGGAUCCAUAAACUCUGGCUAAAUGUCACAGGGUAAGUGCUAGAAUUGAUGUCACAAUGCAAGCUGUAUUAAGUGGCCUCUACUCAAGAUAACAGAAAGGCAAAAGACAGCAGGGAGAACUCAGUGUGGGAGAAUCUGGACAAUUGUUCUGACUCUCCUACUGUCUGUCAUUGUGGAACUUAAUCACACCUCCUCAGAGCAGAUGCGGGGAGGACAACCUUAUGAAGUACACAGACAGUCUUUAACACUCUGCAAGUGUGUGUGUGUAUGUGUGUGUGUAGUUGUGUUACACAUAAGAGGCAAGAACCAUCUAUUUUACCAUUUCUCAAAACAUUCUGACAAACACUGUGGAAUUAAACAAAAGGCGAUAUAGUUUGGCUUGCUAACAAGCUCAUACUUGGCAAGGUUUAGAGAGGAGACAUAACUCAGUGACCUCUGCAAAAGCAGAUACGGCCCUCACUAAAUUUUGUUACCAUUCUGCACGGCAGAGACCAAGAGAUACAUACAUGCAGACACAGAUUCUGUCUACACAGAGCUCACAGCUGAACAGACAGUGUCACGGAAUAUUCCAGAUCCCAGCGCGCAGGUGAGGAAGCUGAACCUGGCCAGAACAGGAUCAGAAAGGGCUUUUUUAUGCUAUUAAAACAAAACAACAACAAAAGUCAUCUAGGGAUCUAACCGAUCUUCAGUUAAAAUAUCACUGGACACUCAGUGUGGAGCAGCCUGGGAGUGAAUGUGAAAGGAGUCACAACACAAACCGGAAGGAGUGGGAGCUUUAAACUACAGCCACAAUAGGCAAGCAACAACAGAAGUUUAAACUCAUGGCAGGUCACUGAGAACAGAAGGGAGUGGAGAGCACGAUUCUAUAUUUAGGCAUGAAGGGAGCAGGCCUGGUGGGUGGAUGGAACAUGACUGCAGGUGCUGAGACCAAUCUCCUAAAAAAAAUAUUCAUCAAUUUAUAGUUAUAUCAUACAAGGAGCCUUACCACCAGUGUGCAUUCAUUCCCACUGUCCUGCCAAGUGCAGUUAGACCUUCAUAAAUGCCUGCAUAAUUAAUCUACCAACUCCCCAAAACACAGUCAGUCAUUCUCUGAGAGUUAUUGGCUUUGGACUUCUCCAAUGAACAGCAAAUAUUUGGAAAUGUAUAUUACUUUUAAAAAACAGAUGAAAUGUGCAAAAGAAGGAUCUUUUGUUUUUGUGUUGUUGUUGUUUUGGCUUUUGGAUUGGUUUGGGGAGACAGGAGUCUCACUAUGUAGCACUGGCUGCCCAGAAACUGUUUAUGGAGACCAGGAUAGCCUGAAAAUUAAGUAGAUCUGCCUUCUCUGCCCCACCUUGGGUUAAAGGUGUUUGCCACAUGCCUGACACAGUCAUUUCUUAAACUAAAAAAUGCUUGCUUCCAUCAGGGAGGAAACACAUGGACAUAACCUGAAAGAACCUUCAUUUUCUAAAUUAAAAUAUGGACCCCACUUAAAACUGUUAGGUAUAUUACUCUCCCUGAGAGUCUAGGAUAAGAAACCCUGAACCCUUCACAAAGGUGCAAUGGCAAGAAACUCCAUCUGAUUCCAUGUAUUCUGCUGUGUUAAAUUUCCCAGUCUCCUGCUUAUUAUACCUUAGUCUUCCUUGGAACAGGAAAAAACUGCCUUCAGACACACCUCAUCUUGCAAAAGGCGAUGCAAAAGAUAGUUCUCCAACAUAUAUGGAUUCACCAGAAAAGGCAUCAAUUCUAAAAUACAGCAUAAUGAUACGACAAAUUAUAUUGUGGUGUGACAGAAUAGAUGGGCCGAGCAUCUGAACCAGCUAUUUAGAAUUGCUCCUUUUCAGAACAGUAUUGACCAGUAUGAUUCCAUCCAUCCACAGGCUAAAGUACUCAUUGCCCAAGUGAACAAAGUUAUGUGCUGUCGUUAAAUGUUAACACGCCUUCCCAACAGCAAGAAAGAAAUCCUGAAGGUCUGGUCUGCUGCUCUGCCUUUGUACUCCUGCUGGGUAAUGUACACAUAAGAAAAGAGACAGGUUCUGGAAAGCCACCUCUCUGGGCAGCAAGGGCAGCACAUCUGUAUCCACUGGGCAGGUGUUGACUCUCUAGGUUCUUGUUACCAGAGAAUCGCCAUGGAUUUCUCCUUCUCUUUAGGUCAGCAUUACACCUAAAGGAGAAUGAAUUUUAAAGACAAUCACCUUCCUCUUCCUUCACCUACCUGCCUCUGAGGGACAGUGGGUUCUUUAAGAACCCUUGUCACUGUGCUCAGAACAGGAAUGUGAUCCUCCUCUUCUAUUAGCCCUGCUCUAAAGGCACAGAGAAUUCAAGUCCCACCAACAUGACAAUUUUGCAUCCUGCAGUAUACGGACUCCCUCAAACAAUGUCCCGUGGGAAGGGUGGAACAGCAGACUUCUUAGCAGAUAUUUUUAGAAGUAUAGACUUAAAAAUAAGACCAGGGCUUCAUUGAAGGCAGGCAGUGGGUCUGCCCUGUCCACUUUUGUAUCUCAGCAACCUACAAGCCCAACGGCACAUGGUGGGUGCUCCCUAAGUAGCAGCAGCAAUAGUAGUAAUGGUUGUUGUUGUCUCCUGUUGUUUUUGGUUUUGAGAAAGUAAGGCCCUGGCUAGCCUUGACCUCUCAGAGAUCUACCUACCUCUGCCUCCUAUGUGGUGGGAUUAAAGGUUUGUGCCACCAUGCCUGGUCCUCAUCAAGAAUUUUUAAAAAAAAUAAAACAUGCUACUUCAAUGUGGACAAACUUGAAUUUUCCAUCCAUAAUGAAAAUAUGAGAAAAAGUGUUGGAAAGAAAAUUCCAUAAAAGCUGGUCCAAGCUUAGAUCAGCAUACAUUUCAUUUUGAAACUCUAAAUAAUUAUGAUAUAUUUCAGUGUUUGUGAGAAUUGUAUUUCUUUAGUUUGGGAAACUGAUUAAUCAUAAAAUCUGCUCCCUCAUUGGUGGUAGCAAAAACUUCAGAAGACCUGAAGCACACUUCUCUCCCACAGACGAAGGGGAACCCCCAAGAAAUCCUAGCUCCACCAAACUCUGUAAAUAUUAAGAGGAUGGCUUGGGCCUCUGUGGAAGACAAUAAAAUACAAAAGGAAAGAAAAAUGAUGGAAGUAGUGACUGUCCCCAAGAUAGGCAAAGUUUAAAGGGCCUCAAAAAAAAAAAAAAAAGAAAAGAAAAGAAAAAAGAAAUAAAAACCCUCUGAUGGUUAUAUGCAAACAUCCUUCCGACAUUCAGAGCAUAAAUCAUCUCUCAGAGGCCUCCUUGCAGGGUCCUAGUUAAUCAUUUGGCCAUAGUAAACACUAAAAGCAAUCAAUCUCACAGGCUUUGGAAUUUGUAGAAAUGCUUGCUGCCCUUACAAGCUAGUUUCUGCAGUUCAAAUACUUUUAAGCUUUUCCUUUAGUAGCUAAAAGUUAACUAAAGUGAUACACCUUAUCUUCAACCAUCAGAAAGACUCUUCAACUUAACAAAGUAAAGGUAGACUGCUUAAAAAAAGGGGGAGGGGGCCAGUAGGAAGGUGUUUCCUGUUUGAAAUUAUGUGUAAAACAGACUCUUCAUAGCACCUAAACUCUCUCUACAGACAAAGAAAAGACAUAAUGCCUUGGUUGAAAAGAAAUGCCAUCUGGUCAACCUCAUAGCCUGUAGUCUAUGAAGACACCUAGCUGCUGAAAUUGUUGAUGAAAACCAACCAGAUCCCUAGCACUGCCAAAACCUGCAGUUCCCACACCAUUUUCUCCCUUCUGUGUACUGGAGGUGAUAAAGACAGUUCUUUUGAAAAACAAGUCCCUCCUGUAUAAAAAGUUUGAAGACUACUAUCUUUUCUAAAGUUUAGCCUGGUCGCUUGAAGGCAGGCUAAACCUGACAUUUCUGUGUCCUUGGAGAGUUUGUGCAUUCUUCCUAAGAUGGGUUUUAGAAGCUCUGGGACCUACCUCCUGUCCAGGAAGGCACUCAGAGCUGCUGGAAUGAAGUCCUGCGCUAACCUGACUUGAAAAGAAAGUGAACAGCAGCACUGACCUUGAAAAUUCUGACAGGGAAGCAUCUUGAUUUUCUGCUUCAUUAUGUCCAAUCUACAGAUUCACCACUGACAGUACCCACUUGCUUGUCCACGCUCCGCUGCUUCCUGGAGCCACCACGGUAGCUCUGACAUUGGCAAACAUACAAACACAUACCAUCUCUCAUAGGCCAAGAGGGUAUAGGGAGGUGCAGGUAGUGACAGAUGUAUUCCUAUGCUUUCACUGGCUUGCCUUCCCUAGGUUAGAAAAAGCAGCCCUCUAGGCAACACACACUUAAGUGAGCAGCGCCUAUAAGGAUAGGAAGGAUGCUGCCUACCUGAGGAAGAGAGGAAUAUCCAUAAGAAAAUGGAAUAAAAACAAGACACCCAUUUGUAGAAUGGAACACCUAGACAUUUGUAAAAACAAACAAGCACAAAACAAACAAACAAACAAAAAACAAUGGCUCAGCUAUACGUCAUGAUGAAAACCACUAUGGAAUGAAAAACUAAGGCACAGAGCUGCCUCGCAUGCACAGGGAACAAGAUGUCCAGGUGUACCUGAGCCUCUACAGAGUGAGGAGAAUGGCCAUAAAAGAAACUGUUUAGAAAGCACUGUGUAUCCUAUCUUCACAGCUGGACUUCUUUGCUCUGUCUGGUAGCAGCACAGUGGGCUUAUAGAAAACAGAAAUGCAAACACCUCAGAAACAAGUUAAGAUGGAGAAGGGGAGAGACCAGAUCUGAAGUUUGAAGCCCCACCACACAUCUACAGAUAAGGGGCCGAUGAGUUAAAGCAUGCCACUCACUGUGGGAUUUUCUGAUCUUUGGGCACUGCCCCAAUUCUGCCACUGCCAGGAUUAUGCUGUUACUGGGCCAGUGCAGGAUGCCAAAGCAAAAAAAGGCAAUAGAAUUCCAAAUCUGUAUCUUCAUUCAGCACAGAAGGAAAAAGGGAAAUAUUGAAAAGCACCCCAAACUCCCAAAAGCAUGAAUUACAUUCUUGGAUGGUAAGUUUUCAAAACAAGACUAUUUCUCACACCCAUUAGUUCCAAAUUUAAAACAAAAAUGUUUUAUGUGUAGGGAGCUGGGGUCUUCUACUGCCAGUCAGAGGGAUGUCACCUGGAUUUUGCUGGUGUGUGCCUUCCUUGAAUUUCACAGGACUUUAUGAAACCCUGUGCAUUCAUAGGCACUAUGAUUUAUUACGGCAAAUGUUCAAAAGAGGGUGGAUCCCAACGAAGACAUUACCUGCCCUAAGAGUUCAAUUACCUGGGCAAGUUAUUGUGUCUCUGUGACCAUGAUCCUCAAGUUAACAGCUGCGAUCAACAAAAUCUUCCAAACUGGAAAAAUUGAUGCUUUAGAUACAUUUUGAGUUAAAUAAUUUAAAAGAAAUACAUAAUUAAUAGCCCUGUAGCAUAUGAAAAUUAGGGUGUUAAUUUAGAAACUCAAAAAUGCUUACCAAAUCCCAAUUCACUGAUGAAUUUAUUUUCCGUUUUCUUGAAUAAUUUAAAUAACUUGUUUUGAAAACCAUUUGGAUUCUACCUUCUCUACUAUGGUUUGUCACUGGCUAUGUAUAAGUAUAUAUACUGAGCUGGAAUUUAAGGGACACAGCUAGUUUCUUUGGCUUCACUAGUACACAGCUGUGUCUUGGACAAAGAUCAGCCUUUCUGUAGCUUAAUUCCUUCAUCAAUAAAAUUAAAAAUUUUAAUCACAUAUUCCCUAAGCUACUUUUCAGUUCCAGAAGUAUGUGAGUCUUCGUUACCAUAUUGCUCACCAAUGUAAAAAAACAAAACAGCAGGGCAGUGGUGGCGCACACCUUUAAUCCCAGCACUUGGGAGGCAGAGACAGGUGGAUUUCUGAGUUUGAGGCCAGCCUGGUCUACAGAGUGAGUUCCAGGACAGUAAGGGCUACACAGAGAAACCCUGUCUCGAAAAACCAAAACCAAAAACAAAAAAUAAAUAAAUAAAUAAAUAAAACAAAAAAGGAGUUCCAUACUGUUAUAAAGAAAUAAAUCUGAAAUUCCCAAUAACUGAAUUUCUACAUCAUCCAUCCUGUUUAGAAGAGGAAGUCUUGGGAUUUGGAAUGAAGCAAUUACAUUUUCUUUAUAUAGUGUUCUGACAAGACAGCCAAUUUUAAUUCUUAAUUCUCCCAAGGUCACCUUCAGACUUCACACAAGGAAAUUGGCACUAUAUGUAAUUAGAUGUAAACUGUCAAGAAAACCCCAGCCCAGGGAAGUACCACAAGGAGCAGAUGUAGGGAACAAGAGCUCCAGUUGCCAGUGUGCCACAGUCCUUCUUUGUCUGUUAUUUUUAGAUUUAUUUAUUCAUGUAUUUUAUGUAUAUGAGUGCUCUGUCUUUAUGCAUAUCAGAAGAUGGAAUCAGACCUCAUUACAGAUGGUUCUGAGCCACCGUGUGGAUCCUGGGAAUAUGAACUCAGGACCUCUGGAAGAGCUGCCAGUGCUCCUAACUGCUGAGCCAUCGCUCCAGCCCAGUAUUUCCUCAUCUUAAUAACACCUAGCAGAACACUUACAGAAGGACUGCCUGCUCACAGUGUUCUGCUGUACACAAUCCUUAUAGGGAGUACCCAAGAGAGAGAGAGAUGCUAUCUCAGUUUCAAACUUAAAGAAACCAAAGCCAAACCGGAAAAUAAAUAUCUUAAACACCAAACAGCCAGGAAGAGGCAGAACCAGAAAAAGACAUCAAGAGUCAUGUGACACUCCAUCUCUCCUAAGCAAUUUCCACUUGCCAUUAAAGGAUCUCUUCAGCCAGGCCAGCUUCAAGGCUAAAGGACUUUCACAUAAGCUACCAUAUUUAAAUUAGUAUCUGAUGACUACUAUUAUUGCGUCCAUUUUAGAGUUAGAGAAACUGAGACCUGAAGUUAGAGGACAUAAGGCUUCCUCUUAAGAACCAGUAACAGCAAAGCAAGAAUCAAAACCAAGUUUAUGUGAUAUUGAAGUCCAGUUCUAUAAUUUUUAUCUAUUACUGUUGUGUGUGCAAGUGCAGGUGUGCACAUGUCAUAGUGUGUUUGUGUGUGUCUGUGUCUGUGUGUGUGCGUGUGUGUGGGGGGGGUGUAGAGAUAACUAUUGGGAAUUGUUUCUUACUCCCCUUCCACAGUAAGUUCCAGGGACUGAACCCCUGUCAGCACGCUUUCACGUAAGUACCUUCACCCACUGAGCCAUUUCAUUGUCCCCUGAAGUCUGUUUGAUUUACCUUCAUCUACGAACAAAAUAAAUUUACACUCAAGUUCUACUCUAUAACUGCUCAUUCACUGCCCAUGCAAAACCAUUUUAUUGAUUCAUAAGGCCUUUCUUUCUUUCUCUAAAAUUGAGGCCAGCAUUUUACAAGACUAUAAACUGUUUAAGCCAUUAAAAAAACAUGCCUUGCUCUGAUUUUGAGUCAAAGGAAUCAGCAAUGCCACCUGAGAGCAAAGGGGAGGCCAGAGUUUGGAAAGCCAGGAAGAGUCUAGUCCUGAGGAAUGGACCAUGGAAGAUGGAGGGAAGGAAGAGAUCGCAAUUGCAGGGUAGGUUCCAGACUGGAGGGCAAAGCUGAAAGGCUCUAAAGUGCUUUGCAUGGUGGAUACAAAUAUACCAUAGUAUAUCAUCAUGAGACUCCAGAAAGGUAAGAUAAAUAAGUCCUGGAUACUCCAGAAGGUUUUUAUUGGGGAUCACAACAGCAUACACCUUCCCACUAACCGUGGAGGUGCUAGACAAUGGGGAAAACCUGUGAAGGCCUCACAGAAACUGCUCACCACCUAGCAGACUAAACCAGAAUUCACAGGCUUCCUAUUAAGAGUAAGGUAGAGCAAGACGCUUUGAGAGCUCAAAGUCUAACUAACUGACCUUCCCUCCAAGGGUGAAUGAAGAUGACAGCCUCUUCUGAGUUAAGCAAACACACUAAGGAAAACGAAGGAUCCCAGACUUGGCAUUCAGUGCAGGAGGGCACGUAAGGAAGAGCCAAGACAACAGCCAUGCUGCAAGCCAGGAAAGAAGAAACACUGAGCAACUGGGGCAGGAUCUCGCAUAACUACUAGAGAUGAUUCCUGGGGCACCAUGGUACCAUCUGAGCACCUGACGUUUAUCGCCAUCCUGAUAUCAAUUUAUCUCUAGAAUGGUCGAUCUUCACAGCUAACCUAAAUGGACUUAGGAUUACCUAAUAGACGCACAUCUAGAUGUAUCCAUGCAGAGCCGUCCAAGAAGGAUUGGCCCCGGAAGGAAGACCCACCCUGGAUAUCCACAGCAUCGACCUAUGGGCUGGAAUGCUAGACUGAACCACAAAAGAGAGAGGUGAGUGGAGUGCCAGCAUCCAUCUCUCCCUGCUUUGUGUCUGUAGAUGCAAUAUGGCCGGCCACCUCAAACUCAGACUACCACCAUUCUCUCUCUGACAUUCUGCAUCCUCUCAAACAACAAGGCAAAAUGAAUCCUUCCUCCUUCCUUGAGCCUCCCCAUCUUCUUCUCUAUGGUAUUUUGUUACGGCAAUAAGAAAAGUAGCUAAUAAAAAAAAUACUAAUUUUGAUGAUUUAAAAGUACAGUUGACGGUUGAUUCUGUUAUCUGUGACCCUGGUGGGUCUUCUGACAUCUCUUUUUCCAUUGGGUUUUCACACACAUACUGUCUUCUCAUGCUGCCUGGCUACUUUUAUUAUUGAGGUACAGGAGAUUUUAAGUUAACAAGGUGCAUAAGAGGUUAAACACUAUCCUGAAUGGUGCCAUCUUCUCCUCUAGAGAGUAUAGACCAACCAGAUUGAGGGUCAGCUCAGUGUUUGUGGAACUAAUCCCUUUCCUGCGCACUCUUACUAACUAAGGAACAUCCCCAGAGAUUCUCAAAUAGAAGUUUGGGCCAUUUUACCUGCCUUCCUUCCAGGCAGGUACAGGUCCCACUCCACAGACA